rnacentral:rRNA from 1 species
CACGUAGGGCGCGAGCGUUGGUCCGGAAUUAUUGGGCGUAAAGAGCUCGUAGGCGGCUUGUCGCGUCGGACUGUGAAAACCCGAGGCUACAACCUUCGGGCUUGCAGUCGAUACGGGCAGGCUAGAGUUCGGUAGGGGAGACUGGAAUUCCUGGUGUAGCGGUGAAAUGCGCAGAUAUCAGGAGGAACACCGAUGGCGAAGGCAGGUCUCUGGGCCGGAUACUGACGCUGAGGAGCGAAAGCGUGGGGAGCGAACAGG